GAUGAACGCUGGCUACAGGCUUAACACAUGCAAGUCGAGGGGCAGCAUGAACUUAGCUUGCUAAGUUUGAUGGCGACCGGCGCACGGGUGAGUAACACGUAUCCAACCUGCCGAUGACUCGGGGAUAGCCUUUCGAAAGAAAGAUUAAUACCCGAUGGCAUAGUUCUUCCGCAUGGUAGAACUAUUAAAGAAUUUCGGUCAUCGAUGGGGAUGCGUUCCAUUAGGUUGUUGGCGGGGUAACGGCCCACCAAGCCUUCGAUGGAUAGGGGUUCUGAGAGGAAGGUCCCCCACAUUGGAACUGAGACACGGUCCAA
rnacentral:rRNA from 1 species